ACCCAGUUGUGUGUUUUAGGAGAGCAAACAUGCAACAAUUGGAAUUUGAAAAUCCUGCUCUACCUACUGGAGCUUUUUUCUUACACUCUCAUCCAGUUAGUGUGAUAUCAGUGGAGUCCAUGUGAUGUUAAAUCUGUGUGGUCCAACAAACUGCUUGCACAGGGGAGAUUGGAAUGUUCAUUGACGCGAGUCAACACCGUCUCUCUCUCUGUCUCUACUUAAUUACACAAGGUUUUAAUUGAAUUUCCAAAUCCCAGCUCUGCCAUGUGAGCUCAUGGUUAUUAAUGAUCUCAUCGAUUCUCUCUGGAGAGAGAAAGGGAAUACCUAACUGCUUCUCAAAUGAAAAGCUUGCAAGUUGGAGUGCAGCUCUGUUUUUAAUCCUGCUGCAUUAGUAAGAUGUCUCUGCAUAUUAAGAAUUCAGCCACAUUGACACCUCUCAGGUUUUCCCAGACUGCCGCACAUACAGCUUCAUUAAGGAGAAAGCUAUAAAGGUUGCACUCACGUUGGAUGGCACGGAAACGUGGACCGAUGGAAGGAGAACCCAAAUCUGGGGAAUUCCGUCUCUUCUCCAACCCAGGAGAAGCCUGCACUGUGAUUUUAUGGAUAAAAUCUAAGGGACAAAAUACAUUCAAUAUUACUGUUUA